rnacentral:tRNA from 1 species
ACCUGGGUGGCUCAGCGGGUUGAGCAUCUGACUCUUGGCUUUGGCUUAGGUCAUGAUCUCAUGAUUUGUGGGUUCGAGCCCUGCCUCAGGCU